rnacentral:rRNA from 1 species
AAUAGAUACCCGGGUAGUCCACGCCGUAAACGAUGAGUGCUAAGUGUUAGAGGGUUUCCGCCCUUUAGUGCUGAAGUUAGCGCAUUAAGCACUCCGCCUGGGGAGUACGGCCGCAAGGCUGAAACUCAAAGGAAUUGACGGGGGCCCGCACAAGCGGUGGAGCAUGUGGUUUAAUUCGAAGCAACGCGAAGAACCUUACCAGGUCUUGACAUCCUCUGACAACCCUAGAGAUAGGGCUUCUCCUUCGGGAGCAGAGUGACAGGUGGUGCAUGGUUGUCGUCAGCUCGUGUCGUGAGAUGUUGGGUUAAGUCCCGCAACGAGCGCAACCCUUGAUCUUAGUUGCCAUCAUUAAGUUGGGCACUCUAAGGUGACUGCCGGUGACAAACCGGAGGAAGGUGGGGAUGACGUCAAAUCAUCAUGCCCCUUAUGACCUGGGCUACACACGUGCUACAAUGGACGGUACAAAGAGCUGCAAGACCGCGAGGUGGAGCUAAUCUCAUAAAACCGUUCUCAGUUCGGA